AAAGGGAUAGCUAGAUCAAAUGGUGGUUCCAUUCCCAGUUAUCCAAGGAAUCUCCAAACUUCUUUCCAUAUUGGCUGUACCAUUUUGCAGUCCUACCAGCAAU
rnacentral:pre_miRNA from 1 species